UGGUAGUCCACGCCGUAAACGAUGUCUACUAGUCGUUGGGUCCCUUGAGGACUUAGUGACGCAGCUAACGCAAUAAGUAGACCGCCUGGGGAGUACGGCCGCAAGGUUAAAACUCAAAUGAAUUGACGGGGGCCCGCACAAGCGGUGGAGCAUGUGGUUUAAUUCGAUGCAACGCGAAGAACCUUACCUGGUCUUGACAUAUCUAGAAUCCUGCAGAGAUGCGGGAGUGCCUUCGGGAAUUAGAAUACAGGUGCUGCAUGGCUGUCGUCAGCUCGUGUCGUGAGAUGUUGGGUUAAGUCCCGCAACGAGCGCAACCCUUGUCCUUAGUUACCAGCGGGUUAAGCCGGGAACUCUAAGGAUACUGCCAGUGACAAACUGGAGGAAGGCGGGGACGACGUCAAGUCAUCAUGGCCCUUACGACCAGGGCUACACACGUGCUACAAUGGUAGGUACAGAGGGCAGCUACACAGCGAUGUGAUGCGAAUCUCAAAAAGCCUAUCGUAGUCCAGAUUGGAGUCUGCAACUCGACUCCAUGAAGUAGGAAUCGCUAGUAAUCGCGGAUCAGAAUGCCGCGGUGAAUACGUUCCCGGGCCUUGUACACACCGCCCGUCACACCAUGGGAGUUGAUUGCACCAGAAGUGGAUAGCUUAACC
rnacentral:rRNA from 1 species